rnacentral:rRNA from 1 species
UACGAAGGGGGCUAGCGUUGUUCGGAAUUACUGGGCGUAAAGGGCGCGUAGGCGGUGUGUCAAGUCAGGCGUGAAAGCCCCGGGCUCAACCUGGGAACAGCGCUUGAGACUGGCACGCUCGAGUUCGGGAGAGGAUGGUGGAAUUCCCAGUGUAGAGGUGAAAUUCGUAGAUAUUGGGAAGAACACCGAUGGCGAAGGCAGCCAUCUGGACCGACACUGACGCUGAGGCGCGAAAGCGUGGGAAGCAAACAGG